GAGAGGUGUCCGAGUGGUUUAAGGUCCGGGUCUUGAAAACCACUGUAAUGCGUAUUACCGAGGGUUCGAAUCCCUCCUUCUCC
rnacentral:tRNA from 16 species